UAUAAGAGACCCGGAAAUUAAGGGCAUAAUAUAAAUUAAAGACAUUCCUGGAUUAAACCAGGCAUAAAGCAUUUUUCAGACAUGACUGGUUAUCUUCUUAUUUGCCUUAUUAUCAUUUGCUCUUCCUAUGUGAACUCCGCUCCCACUGUUGUGCAGCAGCAGCAAACCUUGCAGAUCAGUGAGGGUGGCUCCAGGACGUUUGAAUGCAGUUUGCAGGGAGCACAGAUGUCCGGCUACUGGAUGUGCUGGUACAGGAUGGGAAGGGAGAAACUCGAGUUUAUAUACGAAGACGGUAAUUAUGGCGAAGGAUUUAGUGAUCGUUUCGAAGGAAAUACCCAAAGAUCCCAGAAUAAAUUCACACUGACAGUUUCCAGAGCGGAGCUGAGAGACGCGGGUGUUUAUUACUGUGCUGCUAGGAGAGCACAGUGAUUCUGUAUAGUUACAUGCCGUUACAUAAAUA